rnacentral:rRNA from 1 species
AUUGAACGCUGGCGGCAGGCUUAACACAUGCAAGUCGAACGCAGUGGGGACGGGUGAGUAACACGUGGGUAACCUCCCAUCAGAAGGGAUAACACUUGGAAACAGGUGCUAAACCGAUACUGAUGGAUGGACCCUCGGUUCAUUGGCUAGUUGGUGAGGUAACGGCUCACCAAGGCCACGAUGCAGAGCCGACCUGAGAGGGUGAUCGGCCACACGGGGACUGAGACACGGCCCAGACUCCUACGGGAGGAAGCAGUAGGGAAUCUUCGGUAAUGGACGAAAGUCUGACCGAGCAACGCCGCGUGAGUGAAGAAGGUUUUCGGAUCGUAAAACUCUGUUGUUAGAGAAGCGGUAUCUAACCAGAAAGCCACGGCUAACUACGUGCCAGCAGCCGCGGUAAUAC